CCUACGGGUGGCUGCAGUGGGGAAUAUUGCACAAUGGGGGAAACCCUGAUGCAGCGACGCCGCGUGAGCGAAGAAGUAUUUCGGUAUGUAAAGCUCUAUCAGCAGGGAAGAAAAUGACGGUACCUGAGUAAGAAGCUCCGGCUAAAUACGUGCCAGCAGCCGCGGGAAUACGUAUGGAGCAAGCGUUAUCCGGAUUUACGGGGCGUCAAGGGAGCGUAGGCGGCCUGCCACGUCUGAUGUGAAAUACCGGGGCUCAACCCCGGGGCUGCAUUGGAAACUGGCAGGAUGGAGUGACGGAGAGGCAGGCGGAAGUCGUAGUGUAGCGGGGAAGUGCGGAGAUAUUAGGAGGAACACCAGUGGUGAAGGCGGCCGGCUGGACGGUGACGGACGGGGAGGCGGGAAAGCGUGGGGAGCAAACAGGAUUAGAUACCCGAGUAGGA
rnacentral:rRNA from 1 species